GAUAUCGAUUUUAUUAACGUUUUCAAAGAACCAUUAUUUUGCUUUGCUGAUUCUCUUACAGAUUUCGUCCCUAUUUCAUUAAUUCCUAUUAUUUGCUGUUUCCUCCUCUCCACAUUUCACCAGUGUAACCAAGUCCCUGCAGUAAAUUCAUUCCAUCGGACGCUGAUACAGGUGUUAAGAGCGCGCGUGGUCAGAAGAGUGGUCUUCUGCCCAGUCUGGAAGCUUGGCCAGAGGAACUGGUGUUCUUGUGUACUGAGGUCAUCUUUCAAAAGUACCAGACGGUUUUUCGUCCUUCUCACCCAAACGUGACGUUUCCUGGCAGCCAUUCCACCACCAAAGUGCCAGGAAAGGGGACUACAAAUGCCUCCUAAAAGUACAGGAUAGGGGAUGUCUCUAUCAGGGAAGAAGGAAGGGGAAAGCCCACCCCUUCUGGCCUCAAAAAAACUGCGGGAGGAAGGAGGCUGUCAGAAGCAGAGCACAGGCUCCGGAUGCGCAGGCUCAGCGGCCAUGGCUCACGGACCCAGCCGUUCCGUGGCAUGUGGGAUCUUCCCGGACCGGGGCACGAACCCGUGUCCCCUGCAUCGACAGGCGGACUCUCAACCACUGCGCCAUCAGGGAAGCCCUGUUUUUGUUUUUUGAUUAAAGGAAAACUAGGAAAGUUGGAACAGGUACAUUAAGUCCCCCACAUACGAACGAGUUGCAUUCCCAGAGCGCAUUCGUAAGUCCAAUGUAUUUUUAAGUCCAACAAAGUUAGCUUAGGUACCCAGUUAACACAACUGGCUAUAUAGUACUGUACUGUAAUUGGUUUAUAAUACUUUUCACACAAAUAAUACAUUAAAAAACAAUUAAAAAGUAAAGAAAACAUUGACUCUUUCAGUACAGUACCUUGAAAAGUACAGUAGUACAGUACAACAGCUGGCAUCCAGGGGCUGACAUCGAGUGAACAGGAAAGAAGAGUUACUGACUGGAGGACGGAGAGGAGGUGGGAGAUGGUAGAGCUGAAGGAUCGUCAGCAACAGGAGAUGGAGGGCGAGCGGUGAUGUCACUCACGCCUGACGUGGAUGGCACAGGUUCUGGUUCCUUGCUGGAACUAGAUGCACAUUUGCAUCUUUGAAAGUUUGCAACUUGAAGGUUCAUAUGUAGGGGACUUACUGUAUUAGGUUUUCCUUCCAGAAACCUACAGUAAGAAUUUAUAUGAGUACUAAAAAGACACCAUCAAAACUAAAACCCCGGACAAUAAAGCAGAUUUCCAAAAUACUGAGCUCCAAGAAGUCUAGUCUGACAACUUCUACUUUCCCGAUGGGCAGUGUGUACAUGUGUACAUGAAUAUCAGGGGAAGAGAAGGUGGGUGGAAGAUGAGUGGUGGGGUGGCUAGGAGGUGUCAGGAGAGUUUACUGAGAAAAAAUGUAAAUGAAAGCUGACUUGAGAAAUAAGAAAGUAUUUCCAAGCAAUGUGGAAGGCCUUGUUGAGCUCUGAGGUCACACAUCUGUAAUGACCCUAAUCUGCAUGGUUAUUCAGUUUUCUCCAACAGUAUUCAGAAGCCAAGGUAUUGGACUGGAAGAAGCAGGCAGUUGGGUGGAUACAGGCUAGUAUUUUUCUCAGUAGGUAUGAGAAAAGGGCAAGCAGGUCCUCUCACAAUAGUGAGAGGCCCACGUACCGCAAAAAAAAAAAAAAAAAAAAAAAAAAAAGAAUAAAGAAGGUUAUUAAGAAUAUUAUUGGGACAAGUAAAUAAUUGGAAUAUGAGUGGUUAGACUAGGUAAAAUUAUAGCCUCAAUGUAAAACUUCUUGAAUUUAAUAUCGGGACUGUGGUUACAUAAAAGAAUAUCGUUAUUCUUAGGAAACACACACAAAUAUCUUAAGGGGGGAAGGGGCAUGGUGUCUGCAACUUGGGAGAAUACAUCUGUAACAAAUAUUGGAAAAAAUCAGUAUUCCUAAAAAUCAAUUCUUAAAAAUCAAUGCAAAUAACCCAAUAGAAAAGUGAUCAUAUAAUAUAUACAGUAAACAACAGAAAAUAUACAAUGAAAAGAUACUCAACUCUCUCAUAAAGAAAUACAAGUUAAAACAAUAAGAUACCAUUUUUCACCCAUAGAGUGGCAAAAUCAAGAGAGUUUGGAAAUAAUAUAAAGUGUUGACACUUAAACAGGAAACGGUAGAACUAUAAAAUGAUACAGCUGCUUUUGAAGAACCGUUCACCCACGACCCAUAUGUACCCAGAGGGGUAGGUACAGAAAUGCUCACUGCAGUCGUGUUUAAAGUGAAAAACUUGAAACAACAUAAAUGUAUAUAGGAAUAUGGGUGGAAACUCAAGUCAUUUCAUAGAGUGACAAGUUGUAGAAUAAAAUUAUAUGUGCUAUUAAAAUCAAUAACAAUUAAUGUACUACUAAAUGAUAUAAUUUUAUGGAUCUAUCAAUAUAUAUCAAAAUUAUGUAAAAUCAAGGAAAAUGUUCUUAUAGGAUAUGCGUCAAACAGGAACUCAGGAUGGAGAGGAUUCCAUAUGUGUAUACCCUGAGAAAACCAUAAUUCAAAAAGAGUCAUGUACCACAAUGUUCACUGCAGCACUAUUUACAAUAGCCAGGACAUGGAAGCAACCUAAGUGUCCAUCGACACAUGAAUAAAUAAAGAAGAUGUGGCACAUAUAUACAAUGGAAUAUUACUCAGCCAUAAAAAGAAACAAAACUGAGUUAUUUGUAGUGAGGUGGAUGGACCUAGAGUCUUAACUUCACUUCAUACAAAGUGAAUUAAGUCAGAAGGAGAAAAACAAAUACCAUAUACUAACACAUAUGUAUGGAACCUGUAUAAUUCUUGAUGGACUUAAAAUAUCCCUGAAAAUUCUAAAAUAGCAUCAUGGAAUAUGAGAAUUCAGAGAGAACUUGCUGAUUCUCAAGUUAAAUCAUCUUGACUGUCUUACUGUUGUUGCUUGUUCAUAUGUUUGUUUUUAAUGGAGAAACCGAGGUCCAGAAGAAGGAGGUGAUGUCUCAAAGUCACAGAAUAUUUGAGCACAGUUGAGGGCAGAUCCCAGCCCUAAUCAUCUUCUACAACAUGACCAUGGCAUUUGUGUGGCAUGACGUAUGUCAUGCACCCAUUUUGUAAAUUAGACGAUGGAGUGAAUGGAGGAAAGGAAGUUUCCUGCUUUCUGUUAUUAUAUCUGCCCCACAGGCUAUAACAGUAUGACAUAGUCUAGUUACAGCAGGCAUUUCUCCCGUGGACAUUGCCCGCUUAGGAGAGUGGGGCCGGCAGAGGGUCUAGAUUGCCAGUAUUUGUGACCUGUAUCAGGAGGGGCUGAUGGCAGGAGACCCUAAUGAAAACUGCCAAGAUAAGACAUUAUCUUCACUGUCAAGCAUAGAAUUACAAGUAGUGUUUUUCUGGUCAUCAAUUACUUAUACAGUUUUCCCCAGUCAUUCAGAAACUUGGUCCUCUACCUCACCAAGGGACAGGGGAGACUCAGAGCGAGGAACGAAUGCUUUUCUGUUCUCACGUGCUUGAGUUUUGCUGCUGUACUCCUCAUUCUGAAGGACAAAGUGUGCUAAUGACCAAACUUUAAGAGCUGAUUCAAGUCUGAUGUGUUCCAUCUCACCAUUAAAAAAAAAAAAAAAAAAUGUGAAGCCCUACAGCCAGGUCCAAAAAGGGAGCUGUACACUACCAUAUGAUCCUGCAACCCCACUCCUGGGCAUAUACCUGGAGAAAAGCAUGGUCCAAAAGGAUACAUGCACCCCAGUGUUCAUAGCAGCACUAUUUACAAUAGCCAAGACAUGGAAACAACCUAAAUGUCCAUCAACAGAAGAAUGGAUGUGGUAUAUAUAUAUAUAUAUAUAUAUAUACACACACAUAUAUAUAUAUACAAUGGAAUAUUACUCAGCCAUUAAAAAAGAAUGAAAUAACGCCAUCUUCAGCAACAUGGGGUGGACCUAGACAUUGUCAUACUGAGUGAAGUAAGUCAGACAGAGAAAGAGAAAUAUCAUAUGAUGUCGCUUAUAUGCAGAAGCUAAGAAGAAAUGAUACAAAUGGAUUUAUUUACAAAACAGAAACAGACUCACAGACUUAGAGAACAAACUUAUGGUUACCAGUGGGGAAGGGGGGGAGGAGGGAUAGUUAGGGAGUUUGAGACUGACAUAUACACACUGUUAUGUUUAAAAUGGAUAACCAACAAGGACCUACUGCAUAGCACAGGGAACUCUGCUCAAUAUUCUGUAACAACCUAAUUGGGAAAAGAAUUUGAAAAAGAAUAGAUACAUGUGUAUGUAUAAUUGAAUCACUUUGUUGUACAUCUGAAACUAACACAACAUUGUUAAUCAACUGUACUCUAAUACAAAAUAAAAAGUUAAAAAAUAAAAUAAAACAGUGUGUCAGAAGUUAAGAUUAAAACAAAACAAAACAAAAAGGUAACCAUACAGGUAUAGGUGUGGGCAAUGCAACUGAAAGUUAGCCACUGUCCAGCUGUCUGUACAUUUAAUGAGUAAACAUGUGAUUGGAUUCUGAAGACACCCACAUGGUGUGAAAGUGCUGUGGAGUGUGUGUGGUCUGGAAACAGAAAGACCAAUGUUCUGACAUUUACUGACAUAUCUGACAUUUACUCACUGCUCACCUUUGGUUUUCUAAUCUAUAGAAGGGCAAUAACACAAGGUCACUGCCAAUCCUUGGUGAGCUGAAGAAAAGUGAUUAGGAUGGGAAGAGGACCAAAACCCACCUUGCAGGUUCCUUUAACAAUCAGGUAGGGUGACUUAUUUAAAGGACCUAGUGCUUAAGAUUUUCAUUACGUGGUUAGGACAAGUUAUGGUGAAGAGUCCAGUAGAAGCACACAGGCUUGAAGUCAAGUUUCACUUAGGUAUGUAUCAGAUAUUUAGAUUUUCAUUUAGGUCAUUUACUUAGUUGUAUGACCUUCGGCAAAUUCCUGCCCCUCUUUGAGUCUCCUCAUGGGAAAAUGGGGAUUAAAGACCAAUCUUAUGGUACUGUUUAAGGUCCUACUGCAGCUGCAUUGAAAGAGACACGGUUCACUAAGUCUGUGAGUCUGUUUCUGUUUUGUAAAUAAGUUCAUUUGUAUCAUUUCUUUUUAGAUUCUGCAUGUAAGCGAUAUCAUAUGAUAUUUCUCUUUCUCUGACACUUCACUCAGUAUGACAAUCUCUAGAUCCAUCCAUGUUGCUGCAAAUGGCAUUAUUUCAUUCUUUUUAA